UAUUAAGAGGUGAAAGCUUUAGUUCAGCUGGAAUGGCCGGUGUGUCCUUUAAACGGAGAAAAGUCAGCAAAUGCAGUGCUUGCGCAACAGAGGUGGCUGGAGGAAUGGCCAAGCUUCAUUCAGAGAGACAGAUUUGUAAUGCUUCCUACAAUUAUGAACAUUUACACCUUAAUUAAAGCUUCCUUUGGACAAAAUAAGAAUAAAGCUAAAAUAUUAUUAUCAAUGUUAUUCACACAUUAUCCAGAGGCUAUAGUUAUCCAGGCGUUUAUCCACACGUACGUUAUCCAGGCGUUUAUCCACACGUACGUUAUCCAGACGCAAAGUAAAAAAUAUACUUUCUCAACUACGUCGCCGCCAUCGCCGCCGCGCACUUUGAGCGAAGCUCCAACACGUGACCGUGACGUUUAACGUCUCAUAUCUGACGUCUGACGCCUGAAUACUAUGGGAUUUUGGCCAGACGGCUGGCGUGCGUAUACACGUUAGUUCUCCUCUCAGUUUGCUUAUCAAUCAUCACAUUUUGUUGAAGUCACCCCUCAUAAGCAAUCAUCAAAUUUUGUUGAAUUCACCCCUCAUAACGUUGCAACAUGCAUAUGGAAGGCCAAAAGGGCCAAAACGUGUGAAACCGACGUCUUAACACGUAAUUACGUGUUAACGCGCAAAUGACGUGUUAACGCGUAAUUACGUGUUAACGCGUACGUGUUAUUACGUGUUAACACGUCAUUUGCGAAAUAAAAAACGUGGGACUUUACCACCACCUGGUGGUGUGGUGUACUUGCACAAGCAGAUUAGGAUUGCAAAUGGCAGGAUUUUGUCUAAAAUAAAUCUUUAAAAAUGAACAGUGAGCAUAAAUAGGCUACAACUAUGGCUACACAUAAUAAUUAUAGCAUACAUUUUUUAUUUGUAUUUAUUUUAAUCCUAACACAUGUCUUCAAAUGAAUGAAUGUUGUUGCUCUCAAAACAAUUAACACAGCACAGUAAACACUCUUAUGUUGAUGAAAUUUCAUUAUUCACUGCACUGCAGUUUAUUCUAGUAAUACGUUUAUUAAAAACUAAAUUAUAUCAUCAUAACUACAGGUGUGUUCACUAUUGAUUUUAUAACAUAUUCAUCUAUAGACAUACACUAAUGAAAGUACAUGCUUAUUAUUGUUUUUUAAUGAGUGGUUUUGUUAUAAUCUUUUCCCACUUCCCCCAAAAAUUACAUAGCCUACACAAACAUCCAGCAAAUGUUGUACAGUACUGCAAUCACAAAUGUUUACUCACGAAUUUAAAUCUGCCUAGAGAAUUUCAUCUACAUCAUAGAACAUUCUUAUGCAUUAUGGAGGGAAAAAUCAUUAUGAAUGUUGAAUCCAUGGUUCUUCUCAACAUCUGCAGGCCUCCUUCAUUGUUGUUGUUUUUUUUUUACUCUUUUUUUGUAGUAAACUAUAUUCAUGUUUCUGGUAAAGGUUUGCUCUUGUUUACCUGAUUUUUAAUACUGCUUUCAUGUGCUGGUGUGUGUGUAUACAAGAAAAGAAUUGGUUCUUAUAGAUCUGUUAGUUUUGUGACAGUUUUACUGUUUGAAUUUGUAAUAAACACAUACAACGUGUGGUGUGUAGAUAAAUAAAAUGUAUUACAAAUGUAUUUACAAAUGUAAAACAAAAUUAUUUACAAUAAUAUAAACAAAUAGAAGACGGAAUAAGCAUGUAUGUAUAGGAAACAACUCAAGAAUGUAUUCCAACGAUAUUCUCCAUAGUCUGUUCCCCAUUGUUUUCCUGUGUGUAUCUCUAUAGUCAGCCAGUGUGCUUCAGCCAUCCGUCUGUCCAGCAAUUCACGAUUCCCUCAUCUGUAAGAAAUUACAUUUCAGUAAUUAUCUCCUUUCAUCGAAAGUACCAUUUAAUUGUCAACUCUGAUUUCUGUCAUUACGCCCAGUGCUGUCAACAAAACAUAAUGUUCACCUAAUUCCAAAUUUAUCUAUUCGGUUUCCUGCAAAAGUGGCUCUUCCGUGUGUGUGCGUCACCCUUUCGUCAAUGUUGUUGACUUUUGAUGAUUGAUGAGGUAAGCUCAGUGUAGUGCUUGGGUCACUAUAUCAUGAAUAAUUUAAAUAAAUAAAGGUGUUGUGUCACGUUGACAUUGCCUGUCGUAACUGUUUGUAAUCCUUCUCAUGACUAAUUAAUAUGGUGAUACGCACGAUUCAGAUCGUUUUAUUAUUAAUGAGAUUGUGAACUAGCACUUACGUAAUGGUUACGAUGUGCUCAAGUCUGGCGCAACUUCCUUUUAACCAAAAACUUUUGGCGGCGAGGAAGAAAGUAGUAGUAGUAGUAUCAUCAGCAGCAGGACAUGGCGCGGAGAGAGUUUCUUACAGACUGCAAUAGGGCAUUUCGGGAGUGUACUCGAUUGGCUCAAACAGACGAUCGGGAUGCUAUAGCAAUAAUAAUUACAAGGUAAGUGAUCUUGUUUUGUGGCACUGGACGCCCAUUAUUUCCCCCAGGGGCGGACAAGGCUAUCGGCAGUACCGGGAGUUUUCCCUGUGGGCCGGCCCUUUGCAAUGUAAAUGUAUGAAUGAAUUGUAGUAAAUAGUCCAUAGGCCCAUCUUUCCGUCAGCACAGACGAAUUGUUCGCGCGGGCGCGGCCCACAAAGACACUAAUCAGUGUGCUCAGUCUGUAUAAAAGCGCUUAUCAAUGUCAAAAUGUUUGAGAUAACCAAUCAAAUCAAAGGAGGCGGGAUUUACUGUCCACGGAAACCGAACAGCGCUGCACUAUUUAAUGCUUGUAGAAUGCGAGCCGAGAUAACAUAAGCAGCUGAACAAAACAAUAUAGCCUACAGCAAUGUUUGCCAACUGUUUACGAUAAAUAAUAAUAAUAAACUGUUAAACGACGGGGAUUCAUUUCUAGGACGCACUUCUGACCUUUUCGGAUUGUUAUUCUUCACACAUUGGAUAUAGAAACAUUAACGUAACCUAUAGUGUUCAGCAUGUCAGAUAAAAGUGAAUGUGUGUCUGUUGUCAGGAUUUCUUCAGUAAUUUCACAAUCAUAAAACUCGAAAUAUUCUCAAACUUAAACUGCAUGGCAAAACCAGCAGCUUUCAUAUAACCUAUGUCCCGUAAAGUGUAAAACAUAUAAUUUUCUAAUAGUUCACACGCAUUAUUUUACAGACUGGCGAUCAAAAGUUUGAAAUAAGACUUCUUUAAUGUUUUUGAGGCGGAGAAGUAGGAGGAGGAAGAUAAGUAUUCUCUUGAGAAGGAAUGCAAUGAAGCAUUUUGCCUUUAACAAAUACCCAAACGCCCCUUUCUCCUAGCAUUUUUGUGCGCACAAUGUCCAUCUGUCGUGCUCGCUUGCUCUCAAUAGGCUACUGAGAAUCAUAAGUUAGGAAAGUCUGUCCUUCUCGGGCAGGUUUUUAUUAGUUUCGGUUUAGGAAAAAGGGCUCCACUUAAUAUUAAGUGGCCUUAAUACUAUGUACUUACAUCAAAAACCAACGCAUUUAUCAGAUCCAAAAGCAUUGUUGAGAGGAGUUAUGGAAAAGCACAGACGAAUGAUAUCACCAAUCGUUGUCGUUAUCAUGAUAGAAACUCGAGCAGGGAGUGGAGCAGCGUUUUCACAAGCAAAAUUCUGCUGCUGACCCAGAGGAUGGAGUGGAAGUACCAGAUAUCCAUCAGAGAAGAAUUUAUUUCGUUCAGACAUAUCACCUUUGAAUGACUGGGAUCUUGAUCUUCAGACACCUAAUAUUAUGCAAAUAUUUUACUUUCUUUAGCGCUCUAGAUUAAAACAAACACAGCUCAGAAAUAAAUAAGAUGUUGUACUUUACUCCUAUUACUCGAUGCUGAUCUUGGAUAAACAAGAAUUAAGAUAACCCAUCUCUGAGUCCAUGUAAUGCAAAUGAAUAUGUAUUUUAAAAAGGUUACACUUUAAAAACCACACACAGUGACUGUGACA